CAGCAGUCGGGAAUUUUGGGCAAUGGGCGAAAGCCUGACCCAGCAACGCCGCGUGAAGGAUGAAGUAUUUCGGUAUGUAAACUUCGAAAGAAUAGGAAGAAUAAAUGACGGUACUAUUUAUAAGGUCCGGCUAACUACGUGCCAGCAGCCGCGGUAAUACGUAGGGACCAAGCGUUGUUCGGAUUUACUGGGCGUAAAGGGCGCGUAGGCGGCGUGGUAAGUCACUUGUGAAAUCUCUGAGCUUAACUCAGAACGGCCAAGUGAUACUGCUGUGCUAGAGUGCAGAAGGGGCAAUCGGAAUUCUUGGUGUAGCGGUGAAAUGCGUAGAUAUCAAGAGGAACACCUGAGGUGAAGACGGGUUGCUGGGCUGACACUGACGCUGAGGCGCGAAAGCCAGGGGAGCAAACGGGAUUAGA
rnacentral:rRNA from 1 species